AACGAACGCUGGCGGCAGGCCUAACACAUGCAAGUCGAACGGUAGCACAGAGAGCUUGCUCUCGGGUGACGAGUGGCGGACGGGUGAGUAAUGUCUGGGAAACUGCCCGAUGGAGGGGGAUAACUACUGGAAACGGUAGCUAGUACCGCAUAACGUCGCAAGACCAAAGUGGGGGACCUUCGGGCCUCACACCAUCGGAUGUGCCCAGAUGGGAUUAGCUAGUAGGUGGGGUAAUGGCUCACCUAGGCGACGAUCCCUAGCUGGUCUGAGAGGAUGACCAGCCACACUGGAACUGAGACACGGUCCAGACUCCUACGGGAGGCAGCAGUGGGGAAUAUUGCACAAUGGGCGCAAGCCUGAUGCAGCCAUGCCGCGUGUAUGAAGAAGGCCUUCGGGUUGUAAAGUACUUUCAGCGGGGAGGAAGGCGGUGAAGUUAAUAACUUCACCGAUUGACGUUACCCGCAGAAGAAGCACCGGCUAACUCCGUGCCAGCCGCCGCCGUAA
rnacentral:rRNA from 1 species